UCCGAUAUCUGCCAGAACCUUCUUGCACCGUGGAUCAGGCUUGGCCGGCAUGAAGAAAAGCGGGUUAGCGUAGCGAACGACGGAGUGUAUGCCGGCGUUCUCGCUGCAAAGCACCUCCGAUUUAUCCAGACUCGGCACCGUCUCCUUGCAAUCCUCCCUAGGGCUCUUCACCACCGUCACGUCGCAGAUCGCUUCCUCGUGAUCCCCCUCUACCACCAGCGAGUAGUUCCCGUUCGCCGCCGUCGUCACCUCCUCCGUGUACGUUUCUUUCUCCGUUUUCAGGUUCUUGCAAUCCAGCCGCACAACCGCGCCUGCACGCAAUCGCAGGUACUUGUCGCAGUAGACUCUGCCUUCCACCGUGAAUUUCUCGCCGGGUUUGCCGGCGGCGAAGCCGGCAAAGGCUAAGAAGCAGAUGGCGGCAGAGACGAGUGCAAUGGUAGCCUUUGCCAUUUAAUUUGUGUGUUUUAAUUUAAUUAUAUUUUAUGGAUAUAAACGAAACAACACGAAGGUGGGCAUUUUGUAGGUGGAGAAUGUGGUUAUGGGAGGGUGGUUUAGCGCAGAUUUCUCCGGGCAGUGAAAAAGUGAUCACCAUUUAUGAGGAAUUGAAGCUACAGAUGAUUGACUCAUCAUUCCUUGGGUUUUAGGGAGAGAAUGAUAAAAUUAAACAGUAAUGAAUAUGUGUAAUAUAUAAUUUGGUUUAUAGAAUAUGUGUAAUAUAGAAAAGUAUUUCGUAUU